ensembl:lncRNA
CAAAUACCUUGCUCAAACAUAUGUAAUCACUUUAUAUUUUAUUUGGUUUGUUCAUGAAUUGAAGGAUAUGAGGAAUCUACUCUUUUCCAUUUACAACUCAUGACUUAAUAUUUAGACAAAAAAAUUAGUCAUGGCCAUUUCCUAAUUCAGAAACCAGCGUUUUAACUCACUGAUCUAAUCUAAUUUAAGCGAAUCUGGCUUUUAACAUCUCUUCAGAUUAAGAGAUUCUCCAUUUCCAAUGCACUCUGGUGUUAAUGUGGAAACUGGAUCUCUGUUUUCUUUGUUAUGGGAGUAAGGGCUGUUUGUCCAGGUUAUGCAACCGAUGGCUGGUUUUCUGUCAUCAAUCACUCUACAGAAGCCUGGCUGGACUGCCUGUGACCUCCACCCACACCAAUUUGCUUAGCAACCGUGCCGCAAAGUGAAGCACUGCAGCGGUGAGUCAACCUGACGAGAGACGGAAGGACAGAUGAUGCUGUCAGUCUGAACAAGCCGCGUGGGCUCACACAGAGACAGCGGCGGAUGAUUCAUAUCGGCUGGAGUGCUCCUUUUGUGAACUGCUGCCGCCACAUCUCUGCUGUAACAUGGCCUUCAUAGAAAUGAAGCCACGAAGGGCCUUGAAAUGGAUGGAAGCAACACAAACCGGGAGCUGUGAGCUCUGGGCUGACAUUCACGCCGUGAAUCUAUUCAUAGCCGAUGGAGAAACUCAAGGAACGGAAGGAAUCUCGUGGAGUUUUAUCACGGAGAGACACGCGUGGGCUGAGCGACAGAAGUCCAGAAGCGAGUGAAAACACAAAAAGCUAAAGCUUUAUUUCCAAACAAAGCACUUCUAUGUGGCGCUUCUUGGAAGACAUUCCUCUCCAGCAUUCCAGAGCGUGUGGAGGUGGAGGUCUCGACCGCUGGCUCUGAGGAUAAUUAAGUUUGUAAUUUUUAAUGAAAUGUCCUACACCUACACACACUGGACGUCCUAAAACCUCUCUGUCUCGGUCUGCCUGACUACCUUUCUCUUCACACACAUAUAUAAAUUAUAUACAAUAUACAAAAAAUAAUUACAAUUGUCAUUAAUAUUAAUUAUUAUAAUGUAUAAUAUAUUUAAAAUAUACUUAACAGUUAUUAUUU